AUAAAAGUUGUCAGUUACCAAUAAACAUCAUAUUUCUGAAAAGGUAUUCUUCAUUCCUAAACACAUAACUGAGAUUUGCUUUGCACCUUCUUUCACAAAUCACCUUCAGAAUUCUGUUUGCUUGCCUGUUGCUUCGGUCAAGGACAAAGUGACACUCCACAUGCAAAUAUGGCCAGAGCUUAUCCUUCAAUUCCAGUAAAAUAUAAGAAUUUAUAUACCACAACCUACCUUUAAAUUAGUUACCGUGAGAAGGAGAUGUGAAAAUAAUCAAUCAAAAAGACCCAGAAACCCCACACAACUCACCUAUAUUCCAUCGUCUAUGUUUUGCAUCAUCAAAUUGCUGCCUCAAAACUAGGAAGUCUAUGACAUCUGGCAUGUCAUGGUACUUCAUGGUGAAUGAUCCUCCAGUUAGUUUACCCGUAUCAGGGUCAAGAAAAGCUAGUUUAAGACAGCAGAGAGUAGGCAAUCCCACUUCAUACUUAAUCCCAACUAUUUUCAUCAACUCUUGCUCCCGUAAUUCCAUUUUAUGCCAUGGUUGUUUUUUGGGAUUAAUACUAUAUAUUUUGUUCUUCUUAGCCAUUACAACAUAUGCUUCAUGACCUUGUCGGAAAUAGUAGACCUCAUCCCCCAUCUGUGGUACAAAUGGGCAACGACGAGGAACAGUGUCUGUAAUCCAUGCUGAAGGCAGCCAUUCUUCCAGUGUCAAGCCAUUUUCUGCCAGAACUCCUACGGCCAGCCUCUUCUGUUUUCUCUCUUUGGGUUUUCUCUUCUUUGGUGAUGUUGAUGGUCCAUCUUUCUCCUCGCUCCCUUUCUUCCUUUCCUUUUUAAUUUGCUUCUUUUGUUUUUCAGGUCCUUCCUCAUCUUCUGAACUACUUUCUGCUUUUUUUGUUUUAAGCUUAGGAAUUUUCUUUGGUGGCUGCAGAUUGAUUCCUGCAUCUGCUGUCCAGUCAGAAUAAUCACUAGAGUAGUCACUAGAACUGCCAUCGCUGUGCCAUGCUCUUUCAUCAUCUUCUGAUGUUCCACCACUGGCAACAACAACUUCCCCUUCAUCUGAGGAACUGUGUCCAUUUUCUAACUCUUCAGCAGGCCUUGCAGGUUCUUCUACCGCGUAUCUGGUACGGUAGUUAUGCUGGUUAGCUUGCUGUUUUCUUGAGUCAUUAGUGUCUAGUAAAUGAUCAUGAGAAUGGUUCUUAGAGAAAGUAGGUAUUUUGUUCUCUCUCUGAAUGUGACUCAUCACAUGUUUUCUUUUCUCUUCUGAUCGAUACACCCUUACUUCUUCUUCUCCCUUCGCUGUUCUCCAUUCUUCCUGCCUGGCCACACCAGAAGACAGUUCAGGCACCACAACCCUCCGACUCCAA
rnacentral:lncRNA from 1 species